rnacentral:rRNA from 1 species
GCUUACGGCCAUACCAGCCUGAAUACGCCCGAUCUCGUUCCGAUCUCGGAAGCUAAGCAGGUCGGGCCUGUGUUAGUACUUGGAUGGGAGACCGCCUGGGAAUACCAGGUGCUGAAGCU